rnacentral:rRNA from 1 species
GAUGAACGCUGGCGGCGUGCCUAAUACAUGCAAGUCGAGCGAACAGACGAGGAGCUUGCUCCUCUGACGUUGGCGGCGGACGGGUGAGUAACACGUGGAUAACCUACCUUUAAGACUGGGAUAACUUCGGGAAACCUGAGCUAAUACCGGAUAAUAUAUUUAUUCGUAUGGUUCAUUAGUGAGACACGGUUUUGCUGUCACGUAUAGAUGGAUCCGCUCCGCAUUAGCUAGUUGGUAAGGUAUCGGCCUCCCAAGGCGACGAUGCCUAGGCGACCUGAGAGGGUGAUCGGGCAACCGAGAACAAAGCCGCGGGCAAGAGUCCUGCGGGUGGCAGAAGUAGCGUAUAAUGCGCUAUGGUUGCUAGCCCGGAGGAGCCCCGCCCCGUGAGUGAUGAUGGUGCUAGGGCCGUAGAACGCUGUUAUCAGCGAAAAACAACUGUGUAAGUAAGUAUGCCCGUCUUGACGGAUACUUAUCAGAAAGCCGCGGGUAACUACGGG